rnacentral:rRNA from 1 species
AUUGAACGCUGGCGGCAUGCCUUACACAUGCAAGUCGAACGGCAGCACGGGAGCAAUCCUGGUGGCGAGUGGCGAACGGGUGAGUAAUAUAUCGGAACGUGCCCAGUCGUGGGGGAUAACGUAGCGAAAGCUACGCUAAUACCGCAUACGAUCUAUGGAUGAAAGCGGGGGAUCGCAAGACCUCGCGCGAUUGGAGCGGCCGAUAUCAGAUUAGGUAGUUGGUGAGGUAAAGGCUCACCAAGCCGACGAUCUGUAGCUGGUCUGAGAGGACGAACAGCCACACUGGGACGGAGACACGGCCCAGACUCCUACGGGAGGCAGCAGUGGGGAAUUUUGGACAAUGGGCGCAAGCCUGAUCCAGCAAUGCCGCGUGCAGGAUGAAGGCCUUCGGGUUGUAAACUGCUUUUGUACGGAGCGAAAAGGCUUCCACUAAUACUGGGGGCUCAUGACGGUACCGUAAGAAUAAGCACCGGCUAACUACGUGCCAGCAGCCGCGGUAACAC